rnacentral:rRNA from 1 species
GCUUCUUUUUCCCCGGACUUGCUCCCCGGAAAAAGAGGAGGGGCGAACGGGUGAGUAACACGUGGGUAACCUGCCCAUCCGAAGGGGAUAACACUUGGAAACAGGUGCUAAUACCGUAUAACAAUCGAAACCGCAUGGUUUUGAUUUGAAAGGCGCUUUCGGGUGUCGCUGAUGGAUGGACCCGCGGUGCAUUAGCUAGUUGGUGAGGUAACGGCUCACCAAGGCCACGAUGCAUAGCCGACCUGAGAGGGUGAUCGGCCACAUUGGGACUGAGACACGGCCCAAACUCCUACGGGAGGCAGCAGUAGGGAAUCUUCGGCAAUGGACGAAAGUCUGACCGAGCAACGCCGCGUGAGUGAAGAAGGUUUUCGGAUCGUAAAACUCUGUUGUUAGAGAAGAACAAGGAUGAGAGUAACUGUUCAUCCCUUGACGGUAUCUAACCAGAAAGCCACGGCUAACUACGUGCCAGCAGCCGCGGUAAUACGUAGGUGGCAAGCGUUGUCCGGAUUUAUUGGGCGUAAAGCGAGCGCAGGCGGUUUCUUAAGUCUGAUGUGAAAGCCCCCGGCUCAACCGGGGAGGGUCAUUGGAAACUGGGAGACUUGAGUGCAGAAGAGGAGAGUGGAAUUCCAUGUGUAGCGGUGAAAUGCGUAGAUAUAUGGAGGAACCCCAGUG